UAACCUUUACCACACAAACGUUUUUAACAAUUCUUUUGAAUAACGUAAUACUUUUGUUUUGAACAUUUUCUGGGAUCUUGUUGUAAAAGCAUAUACAUCGCCCCACAAAAGACUUAGGCUGCCUACGCACUGGCGACCAUGGUCGCCGCGACCUGGACGCGGCGGCCAGUGAAUUCUGGACUUUAUAUGGCCAUCGCUAUAGCCCCUACGCACUUAGCGGCCAGCGACCAGCGGCCACCGUUGGCCUCGGCGUCUAAUUUGAUGCCACGCGACCAGCGACCAAUCGUGGCCGUCGAGAACAUCACUUCUGUAUUAAAAUUCAUCAGUGCUACCGCAUCGGCCGCGGCGACCAGACGUGUAUAGCUACAGAAUGAUUAUUUUACAAUGGCCAAUAAUUUCGACACGGAAAGGUUCAUAAUUGAAGUUGAAAAUAGAAGAGGUUUAUGGGAUUUAUCAUCAAAUGAUUACUCCAAUAAAGAUGUUAAGCGGCAGUUGUGGCUUGAACUGAUCAAUAUAUUUGGCGGUGAAUCCAUAGAAGAUAAAGAAAAGGCAGAACUUGGCAUGACUCUCCAAAAAAGAUGGAAAAACCUUAGAGACUGUUUCACAAGAGAGCUGCGCUGUUUUAAAGAUGUGAAAAGUGGUUCUGCUGCAAAACGUAAAAGUCAAUACACCUAUUUCAACCAAUUACUGUUUUUGAGAUCAGUGCUGGACACAAACGCAACAGAAAAUAGUCUUGAACAGGCAAGUCAAGAAAAUGAAAGUGCAUCUUCUGAUCUUGAUACUCAACAGUCUGCAUCAAAGUCGCUUAGAACAAAAAGGAAGAAAAAAAUACCAAACGAAGAAUCCGAUACAGACCCUUUAAUUUCCGUUCUGCAUAAGACCAUAGCGACAAUAGAGAAGACAGAUACACAGAAUGAUUCAAAUUGUGACAGACUGUUUCUUUUAUCCCUCCUCGACAGAUUUCAAAAUAUCCCUGCUGUAAUGAAGACCAAAGCGAAAAUGGAAAUCAUGGAAAUUAUAGAAAAAUAUCAACCGAACUAUGAACCAACAGCGCGCAUAAACUAUUCAAGAGAUUUUAAUACUCUUUACGACCAAGAAUAUGACCCGCAUCGACCGAAUUAUUCAGGUUAUUCUACUACCAACAGGAUAUUAGAUGAUUCAAAUUACAGCGAUACUCAUACUCAUUAUUCUGAUAUUUCCCAAAAUUCAGAAAUGAUAGACCUAUUUCCCAAUUUGAAUGAUUAAUUGUUCACAAUUGCCAUUUUUUAAGUUACGAAAAUACAAAUAAUUUGAUUAUCUAC